CGCCUUGCCAGCCCCGCUCAGAACUUAAAGGGAAGUUGACGGGGGCCCGGCACGAAGCGGUGGAGUAUGUGGUUAAUUCGAUGCAACGCGAAGAACUUACCUGGUCUUGACAUCCCGGAGACCCUUAGGAAACUAGGGGUGCUUCCAUCUGGAAGAAUCUGGAGACAGGUGCUGCAUGGCUGUCGUCAGCUCGUGUCGUGAGAUGUUGGGUUAAGUCCCGCAACGAGCGCAACCCUUGCCUUUAGUUGCCAGCAGUUCGGCUGGGCACUCUAAAGGGACUGCCGGUGUUAAACCGGAGGAAGGUGGGGAUGACGUCAAGUCCUCAUGGCCUUUAUGACCAGGGCUACACACGUACUACAAUGGCCGAUACAAAGGGCAGCGACACUGCGAGGUGAAGCCAAUCCCGUAAAAUCGGUCUCAGUCCGGAUUGGAGUCUGCAACUCGACUCCAUGAAGUUGGAAUCGCUAGUAAUCGCAGAUCAGCCAAGCUGCGGUGAAUACGUUCCCGGGCCUU
rnacentral:rRNA from 1 species